GGGCGGUUAGCUCAGCCGGUCAGAGCGCCUGCCUUACAAGCAGGAGGUCGCAGGUUCGAGCCCUGCACCGCCCA
rnacentral:tRNA from 1 species